GUGGGGAAUCUUGGUCAAUGGGCGCAAGCCUGAACCAGCGACGCCGCGUGGGUGAUGAAGGCCUUCGGGUUGUAAAGCCCUGUGGGGAGGGACGAAAACGUCAUGGGCGAAUAGGCCAUGGCCUUGACGGUACCUCCUUAGCAAGCACCGGCUAACUCUGUGCCAGCAGCCGCGGUAAGACAGAGGGUGCAAACGUUGCUCGGAAUUACUGGGCGUAAAGCGCGUGUAGGCGGAUAUAUAAGUCAGGUGUGAAAUCCCUGGGCUCAACCCAGGAACUGCAUUUGAAACUGCAUAUCUAGAGUGUCGGAGAGGAAAGCGGAAUUCCUGGUGUAGAGGUGAAAUUCGUAGAUAUCAGGAGGAACACCGGUGGCGAAGGCGGCUUUCUGGACGAUUACUGACGCUGAGACGCGAAAGCGUGGGGAGCAAACAGGAUUAGAAACCCGGGUAGUCC
rnacentral:rRNA from 1 species